UGGCAACAUCAUCUUGAAACAUCGGUUCCCGUACUAUCACCGACGUUAAGCAAAGUUGAGCCUCGUCAGUACCUAGAUGGGUGACCGAUUGGGAAUACAAAGUGCUGUAAG